rnacentral:rRNA from 17 species
AUGACGGAGAAGGUUAGGUUAGCCAACUGUUGGAUAUGUUGGUUUAAGUGUGUAGGCGUGCUUUAUAGGAAAAUCCGUAGAGCUAAGCUGAGGCAUGAUGACGAGUCUCAAUGGAGACGAAGUAACUGAUACCAGGCUUCCAGGAAAAGUCUCUAAGCUUCAGGUAACAAACGACCGUACCCCAAACCGACACAGGUGGUCAGG